AACCCAUAGUGAGGGCACAUUCUCAAAAUAUCCUUGUAUCUCUCCCAUGCAUCAUAAAGCGUUUCUAGAUCCAUCUGCACAAAAGAAGAGAUGUCAUUCCUCAACUU
rfam:Gossypium hirsutum cultivar TM-1 chromosome 8, whole genome shotgun sequence